AAGAUGUAACGGGGCUCAAACUGGUUACCGAAGCUGCGGCUGUGCACGCAAGUGCACGGGGUAGGGGAGCGUUCUGUAAGCCUGCGAAGGUGUGUCGAGAGGCAUGCUGGAGGUAUCAGAAGUGCGAAUGCUGACAUGAGUAACGACAAUGGGGGUGAAAAACCCCCACGCCGGAAGACCAAGGGUUCCUGCGCAACGCUAAUCGGCGCAGGGUGAGUCGGCCCCUAAGGCGAGGCAGAAAUGCGUAGCUGAUGGGAAACGGGUUAAUAUUCCCGUACUUCUUAUAACUGCGAUGGAGAGACGGAGAAGGCUAGGUGAGCCGGGCGACGGUUGUCCCGGUUUAAGCAUGUAGGCAGUGGGAUUAGGCAAAUCCGGUCCCACAAUGCCGAGACGCGACGACGACUGCCCUUUAAGGGCGGGAAGUCAUUGAUGCCCUGCUUCCAGGAAAAUCUUCUAAGCUUCAGGCUAUUCGAGACCGUACCCCAAACCGACACAGGUGGUUGGGAUGAGUAUUCUAAGGCGCUUGAGAGAACUCGGGUGAAGGAACUAGGCAAAAUUGUACCGUAACUUCGGGAGAAGGUACGCCGCUGACGGUGACGAGACUUGCUCUCUGAGCUAUUGGCGGUCGCAGUGAAAAGGCCCCUGCAACUGUUUAUUAAAAACACAGCACUCUGCAAACGCGUAAGCGGACGUAUAGGGUGUGACGCCUGCCCGGUGCCGGAAGG
rnacentral:rRNA from 1 species